AUUAUAAUUCCAAUUAUUAAAGAAAGACGAGUAAGAAUAUUGUUGGUGUUCUUAACUCAAGAGAAAUGUUUUCAAUUAUUUAUUAAAUUUUGAAAACCCGGCUAAGUGAAUCAUAGAAUGUUAAGCACUACACCAUGACUUAAGUUAGCUUCACGAGACCUAUUAAGAAUAGAAUUUCUUGUAGGCUUUAUGAACCAAGGGGAUUAGCGCUGCUUUCCCAAGACGAGUUUAUGUGAUUAUGAUCUUCAGGCUUUGCCUAUCCAGGUUGAGCAGUUGAUGGAAUGGAAUGAUGUUGAGCGGGUGUUCCUUUGACAUUUCAAGAAAUGUAACCUUGAGUAUACAUCUUCAUAUGUAUAUCUCACACGUUUUCCGCUGCAAAACACUUUGAUUAGGAUAACUUUAUGUUAUGAAAUUGUGACACGUGUUAUUGGGUAACCCACCUUAAUCAGUUCUCAUUUAUGUGUAUGUUUUAUAAGUAUCCAAAUAAUCAUAUAUGAUCCUAGCAUUUUAUCUAUGAGUGACAUUUCCAUAUACUUUAAUGUUAA